GGCAGCCAGAGCAGCCCAGUUGGGCAGUCCAGUGAAGCCCUGCGAGGGAGGUGGAGCCCUUCCCAGAGCACCCAGGACCUGUCUCUGCACUGGGACCGGGAAGAUGCUUCAUUUCACAGCCACCAUACUGUGAGGAAGCCCAAGCCACACGGAGAGGCCACGGGCAGCUGUUCUGGCUGGUGAUUCCCCGUUAGGAGAAUCAGCACCAGCCAACAGACAUGUGAAUGAGGAGACUGUCCAUAUGCCUCCAACCCCAGACUGCAACUGCAUGAAAGACCCUGAGUGAGAAGCACCUGGCUGAGGCCAGCCCCCAGAGCUGUGAGAGGUGUACGGCAGUUUUCCAGAGGCUACAUGAUGUGAUAUGGCGAGAGACUGGAUUUAGAAGCAAAUGUGAAAAUCAGCUGACUUCUACCAAUUCAGGUCUUAAAGGGAGGGUUGCAAAAGUAUAAAAUAAUGCCACUUUCUUUACACUAAAAAAAAACUAGUUAUUUUUAUUAAAAU